AUACUCCUGACUGACCGAUAGUGAACCAGUACCGUGAGGGAAAGGCGAAAAGAACCCCGGCGAGGGGAGUGAAAAAGAACCUGAAACCGUGUACGUACAAGCAGUGGGAGCCCCACCACCAAAGCAUUCUCUGGUGUUGAAGGCCCUGCAAAGCAGCAUCGCGGUGGCGGAGCGUCGUUUGCGACGCCCAACACACAAAACAAGCGGUGAGUGCUUUGGGGUGGGGUGACUGCGUACCUUUUGUAUAAUGGGUCAGCGACUUAUAUUCUGUAGCAAGGUUAACCGAAUAGGGGAGCCGGAGGGAAACCGAGUCUUAAUUGGGCGUUAAGUUGCAGG
rnacentral:rRNA from 1 species